UACGGGGGGAGCAAGCGUUGUUCGGAUUUACUGGGCGUAAAGGGCGCGUAGGCGGUCAGCACAAGUCAGUUGUGAAAUCUCCGGGCUUAACUCGGAAAGGUCAACUGAUACUGUGCGACUAGAGUGCAGAAGGGGCAACUGGAAUUCUCGGUGUAGCGGUGAAAUUCGUAGAUAUCAAGCAGAACACCUGCGGCGAAGGCGGCCUUCUGGACGAUGACUGACGCUGAGACGCGAAAGCGUGGGGAGCAAACAGG
rnacentral:rRNA from 1 species